AGAGUUCGAUCCUGGCUCAGGAUGAACGCUGGCGGCGCGCCUAACACAUGCAAGUCGAACGGCACCCCUCUCCGGAGGGAAGCGAGUGGCGAACGGCUGAGUAACACGUGGAGAACCUGCCCCCUCCCCCGGGAUAGCCGCCCGAAAGGACGGGUAAUACCGGAUACCCCGGGGCGCCGCAUGGCGCCCGGGCUAAAGCCCCGACGGGAGGGGAUGGCUCCGCGGCCCAUCAGGUAGACGGCGGGGUGACGGCCCACCGUGCCGACAACGGGUAGCCGGGUUGAGAGACCGACCGGCCAGAUUGGGACUGAGACACGGCCCAGACUCCUACGGGAGGCAGCAGUGGGGAAUCUUGCGCAAUGGGGGCAACCCUGACGCAGCGACGCCGCGUGCGGGACGGAGGCCUUCGGGUCGUAAACCGCUUUCAGCAGGGAAGAGUCAAGACUGUACCUGCAGAAGAAGCCCCGGCUAACUACGUGCCAGCAGCCGCGGUAAUACGUAGGGGGCGAGCGUUAUCCGGAUUCAUUGGGCGUAAAGCGCGCGUAGGCGGCCCGGCAGGCCGGGGGUCGAAGCGGGGGGCUCAACCCCCCGAAGCCCCCGGAACCUCCGCGGCUUGGGUCCGGUAGGGGAGGGUGGAACACCCGGUGUAGCGGUGGAAUGCGCAGAUAUCGGGUGGAACACCGGUGGCGAAGGCGGCCCUCUGGGCCGAGACCGACGCUGAGGCGCGAAAGCUGGGGGAGCGAACAGGAUUAGAUACCCUGGUAGUCCCAGCCGUAAACGAUGGACGCUAGGUGUGGGGGGACGAUCCCCCCGUGCCGCAGCCAACGCAUUAAGCGUCCCGCCUGGGGAGUACGGCCGCAAGGCUAAAACUCAAAGGAAUUGACGGGGGCCCGCACAAGCAGCGGAGCAUGUGGCUUAAUUCGAAGCAACGCGAAGAACCUUACCAGGGCUUGACAUGUGCGUGAAGCCGGGGAGACCCGGUGGCCGAGA
rnacentral:rRNA from 1 species